GCAGAGCUGAAGAAAAGAGGGGCUGAACCACAAGAACACUCGUUUGGGAGAAUUGCCGCUUUCGAAUCCAGGGCUUAGGAGAACACGAACACCGAUCUCCAAUUCGCACUUGUUGAUGUUCUCCCACCAUGCCGAUUCUCAAAGUCCAGAAGAAAGAAGCUCCAAAAAUGUCAAGGUACCUUUGUAGUUGACGCUGAUGAGGACGCAUGCACAUAUAUUGGCUCCUUGGUUCUCAACAAAGGACGGCAUUUAUAUUACAUGACGGGUGCGUGGGCAUUGUUGUAGCUCCAUUAUUGGGCUCAAAUUUUUUUUGUUUAAUUUUGAAAAAUUAUUUUCUUACCUCGAUCAGUUACGAAUUCAACCAUAUUUUUUUCGAAAUAAAAAUUAAAUUUGACAUGAAAAA